rnacentral:lncRNA from 1 species
UUUUUUUCAGCAUACCAAGGAAAGACUUCCAUCAGUACCGUUGGCACAUCCACCUCUGCAUACAGGUUGAGUCUGGCCACCAUGUCCCGCUCAAACACCGGUACAGGAACUGUCUGGGAGCAAGAGAGCCAACCCUCACGCCAGCCCUCACAGGACACACUCAGUCGGUGUACCGAUGAGGAAGAGGAGGAAAAUGACUCCAUCAGUAUCCCCAGCGUGGUAAGUGAGCACGAAGCUUUCCUCCCCAGACUUAUUUCCCAGCGGCGUUUCUCCAGUCACAUCACGGUGUCAGCUGCCACUCAGCCUGAACCAGGCAUUAGCACCAUGCUGCCCAGUCACAGGUAAACAAACACCCUUCUUCAAAACUAAAGCUCAUUCAGACCGAAAACUGUCUAUAACAACCUUAUUUAUCCAAUCUUACCAUAUCUUUCCCUUUAAGAGAGGGCUGAUCUACAGCUGGGGGGUUGCAUGUCUCUCUUAUUAUUCCCCUAAUCUUGUUCCCUGCCCAACUCUACAGUGAACCCAAUGUGCUAGAUGAAUCCCAGGGGCUUCUGGAGGAGGGUAACCUGUCUAGGGUUGCUAGCGUGCAAAGUGAACCAGGACAGCAGAAUCUGCUCAUCCAGCCACCACUCGGUCGUAAGAGAGGACUUAGGCAGCUACGGCGACCCCUGCUGUCUAUACAGAGGGUGCAGGACGAGUCUCGUGGACGUCAGGGAGCCAGACUCUCAACAACCCGCAGGAACAUUCAGCCUAAGAGUAAACCACUCGACAGGGGUUUGUGUUGUUUGUGUAACUAUAUUAAAAAAAGAAAUGAAUAUCAGUGACGCCUGUGUGCAGAAGAUUUAACAUUAAACAUGAACCUUAUAAUAUAUAUAUAUAUGUGUGUGUGUGUGUGUGUGUGUGUGUGUGUGUC